rnacentral:sRNA from 1 species
ACCAGGUGUGGUGGCGCAUGCCUGUAAUCCCAUCUGCUUGGGAGGCUAAGGCAGGAGGAUCCCCAGUUCAAAGCCAGUUUCUGCAACUUCACAAGGCCCUAAGCAAUUUAGUGAGACCCUGUCUCUA